ensembl:snoRNA SNORD12B small nucleolar RNA, C/D box 12B
GCUGGCAUAUAUGAUGACUGAACUUUUUUCCCCGACAGAUCGACCAUGUUGAUCUAACUUAUGUAAGCCAGUUUCUGUCUGAUGUGCCAGC